rnacentral:rRNA from 1 species
AGCUUAGUUGCCAGCAUUAAGUUGGGCACUCUAAGUUGACUGCCGGUGACAAACCGGAGGAAGGUGGGGAUGACGUCAAAUCAUCAUGCCCCUUAUGAUUUGGGCUACACACGUGCUACAAUGGACAAUACAAAGGGCAGCUAAACCGCGAGGUCAUGCAAAUCCCAUAAAGUUGUUCUCAGUUCGGAUUGUAGUCUGCAACUCGACUACAUGAAGCUGGAAUCGCUAGUAAUCGUAGAUCAGCAUGCUACGGUGAAUACGUUCCCGGGUCUUGUACACACCGCCCGUCACACCACGAGAGUUUGUAACACCCGAAGCCGGUGGAGUAACCAUUUAUGGAGCUAGCCGUCGAAGGUG